UUUGUAGCAAUACAGAUGCUGGCGACCGGCAAACGGGUGCGGAACACGUACACAACCUUCCUUUAAGUGGGGAAUAGCCCAGAGAAAUUUGGAUUAAUACCCCGUAACAUUAUGAUGUGGCAUCACAUUAUAAUUAUAGCUCAGGCGCUUAAUGAUGGGUGUGCGGCUGAUUAGAUAGUUGGCGGGGUAACGGCCCACCAAGUCUGCGAUCAGUAACUGGUGUGAGAGCACGACCAGUCACACGGGCACUGAGACACGGGCCCGACUCCUACGGGAGGCAGCAGUAAGGAAUAUUGGGCAAUGGAGGCAACUCUGACCCAGCCAUGCCGCGUGGAGGAUGAAGGCCCUCUGGGUUGUAAACUUCUUUUAUUUGGGACGAAAAAGGGCUUUUCUAAGUCAACUGACGGUACCAGAUGAAUAAGCACCGGCUAACUCCGUGCCAGCAGCCGCGGUAAUACGGAGGGUGCAAGCGUUAUCCGGAUUCACUGGGUUUAAAGGGUGCGUAGGUGGGUUGGUAAGUCAGUGGUGAAAUCCCCGAGCUUAACUUGGGAACUGCCAUUGAUACUAUCAGUCUUGAAUAUUGUGGAGGUCAGCGGAAUAUGUCAUGUAGCGGUGAAAUGCUUAGAUAUGACAUAGAACACCAAUUGCGAAGGCAGCUGGCUACACAUAUAUUGACACUGAGGCACGAAAGCGUGGGGAUCAAACAGGAUUAGAUACCCUGGUAGUCC
rnacentral:rRNA from 1 species